rnacentral:tRNA from 1 species
AAUAAAGUGUCUGACAAAAGAAUUAUUUUGAUAGAAUAAAAUAUGUAUAAAAAUAAAAUACCUUUAUUU